rnacentral:rRNA from 1 species
UACAAGAGGUCCCAAGCGUUGGUUCGGAUUCACUGGGCGUAAAGGGUGCGUAGGCGGUCGGGUAAGUCUGAUGUGAAAUCUCACAGCUUAACCUGUGAAACUGCAUUGGAUACUAUCCGGCUCGAGGAAUGGAGGGAGACUGGAAUACUUGGUGUAGCAGUGAAAUGCGUAGAUAAUCAAGUGGAACACCAGUGGCGAAGGCGAGUCUCUGGACAUUUCCUGACGCUGAGGCACGAAAGCCAGGGGAGCGAACGGG